rnacentral:rRNA from 1 species
CCUCCUCCUCUCCUCCUCCUCCUCCUCUACCCACAAGGCCGGACGCUCUACCCACUCGUGGGGGGAUGCCUCUAGCCAUCAAGAAGCUAGCGGAGUCUACACCUCCUCCUCCUUCACUGGCUCCUCGGACUCUAAGGUUACACCCUGUCGCUACUGCUACCACCUCAAUUACGCGUACUGGUUCCGGCUCGAGGUCCUCGAAGUGUAACGGACGCAGUUUCCGAAGUGGCUCAACCUAGGGUCCUUCUUAGAAACCCAGGUGUGGGCGAAGACGUCGAAGUUAUAUCCCCUGAAGCUGGAGCUAUCUCUCAGAUUCAAACCGGAACCCGGCGGCGAAAUACUGUUAGAUUGAGGGUUCAACCUGUCCACGUACCACAGCAAACGACAGUUACAGUAAAGGCAGUUUCAUUGGCUUAGGCUGGCCCCAAUAGGUUAGUCGCAUAUACCGUGACAACAACGUUCCCUAUGCUAACUGAUGUCUACACAGAUAGAGAAGUCUGCACGUUCCCUUCUAGGGGUCUAGUAGUUGAGGUUUCAGGUAAGGGACAAAGGAACCGAAACUGAAUGAGCAUAUAUGACUAGUUUAGGUUUAUAACAAUAGGAGAAGAGUAUUUAUACGACAUAUGGUAUUUUCCACACACACACGACUAAAGUGGUAUAUUAUAAUAUACUAACGACCACGUGAUCACUCAUCCAUGUGAUCAGACGAUAGGAUAGUUUUGAAAGAACUGGUUUAUGUUUGACCUUACGUUUGUCGAGGUAAGAAGUUAUAUCAAACGAUUUUAAACGAUCCAAAUACGGGACAUGGGAAGCCGUAAAGAACAUAUACAUGAACAAAGGAACAUUCUUGUUCAGGACGAGACGGUCGUAAUACACAACCACAAAUAAGUCUUUGCAAAGAACAGUAAGAACGAACGUUAAUGGUGAUAAGUCUUCGAAUUGUAGCAUAACCUAUGUGAAUACAAACGUUUUUACCAAACACUCAACGGUAAAACUAAGUUUUGUAACUAUCGAAGUACUACAUCGAUAACGUCGAAUGACAAAUAGAGUACUACAUCGAUAGAAAGAGUCGAGAGUACUACAUCGAUAGAAAGAGUCGAACGACAAGAACGUACUACAGGUUCGAUACAAAACAGUUACAUCAUCAAGGGAUCAUAUGUGGUGAGAAAGUUGUUUAAACCACGUAAAAGUAUAUAGAUAAUCUAAAGAGGAAAAUCAAUAAAAGUGAACAAGUUUUGAACAACGGAAAAUUGAAUUACAUUCUAAAUCAACGAAUAAAAGAUGUGACCAGACUAAUUAACGAAUUGAAGCACACUCAAGCACACUCGAACGAGAUGAAUGAUGUAUCUCUGUAUAAAUAGAAUUUAAUAAAACGUCCUACUAUACGAUUGUAACUAUCCAGGUGCCGCUCCUAAUCAAGUCAAUCUAUUAUAAAUAAAACUCAACUUAGACUCCCACUUCCCACUACGACCGCUGCUUCUAAAAUCGUUACCACACCAUCACGAGGUACAACCAGGGAUACUAGGACUUGGUUAGUGUUCCCACGACUCGUCAACCGAUUCGUCUCACCUCAACCACGAACGUUGACAACUUUCAGGUCACCGUCGAUCGGAACUUCAGUUACAAAACUUUCCUCGUCGUGGAAAGUCACCGUUUUAUACACGACCCUGAUCACUUUUGGGCUUCUGAGUCUACUAACACAUACUAUCGUCUCUAUGUUUCUCGCCGAGGAGACAACACAAUUGAGCGUUGGAGCAUCGACAGGGACGGGGCCUACUGCUGCUUCUACUUUAACCACAGUUACAAGCGAAGGAACUACUACCGCUACUGCAGCUACUACUCCUAUGUCCGUGGAACCAGUUCGAUCGUAUGGGACGACUUCUCGUUCAAACGACAGUGGCGCGGACCCUCGACGUUCACUUCCAAAGGACCUGACGGUAGGACACGUUUGGUUACCGUUUUGUACAGAAUUGUUCUCCCUGGUCAUACGGGUCCCUAAUAUGAACGGGAUCCAUACGCGGAGCCAAGACUAACCAGCACGAGAUCUUAAAGACAAGUACGGGCAUCAUGUACAUUCUUCUUAACACGGACACGACAACAAAAUGGGCACCUACCAUUACCUCCCUACAUUACUUGGUUGGCGCAGAACAGAGAGAUAAAUACUUAUUUAACCGUACGGUACGCGGGACAACAUGUAAAAAACAUACUUACUUACUUACUACUUACCUACCAAGGUACUAAAUAUUGUGCU